rnacentral:rRNA from 1 species
ACUUUCGCAAGAAAGUGGGGGUUGUAAGGUGAGAGCGUUCUAUUUAUAGAAGUAGAGUCAAAAAAUAGUGUAUUAGUUUAGAUAUCUGAAAAGAUAUACCCUAGAGGGUUAUAGUCCCGUGAACGAAAAUAUACUAUCUCUAUUGCUUUCAUUCUUGAGUACCUCGAGACACGAAUGGCUCGGGGGAAUCUGCCGGAACUAACCGGUAAGGCUAAAUACUCUUCAAGAUCGAUAGUGAACUAGUACCGUGAGGGAAAGGUGAAAAGUAGCCCGUCAAGGGCGGUGAAAUAGACCUGAAACCAUAUGCUUACAAGGAGUAGAAGCGGUGUCUCGCUUGUGCGAGGAAAAACUGAAAGAUGUAUUGUGUUGAAUUAUUCCUCCUUUUUAAAGGAGGUGGCUGGUACCCCAGACAGAGGAUUUGAAAUCCCUCGGCCUGGAGCCUGCUGAGUCGAUCGUUUGUGAUCGACACCUGUAGACGGCCUUUAGAAAAGGGAGAAUUUAAUACAGCAGAUAUCUUUAGAUUUUUAUUCGUAAAAGUGAGACACCGUGACUGCGUGCCUAUUGAAGAAUGAGCCAACGAGUUAAUGUAUGCUGCGAGCUAAGUCCUUUACCGGAUGGAGCUGCAGGGAAACCGAGUGUUAAUAGCGCGUCUGUAGUAUACAUUAGACCCGAAGCCAGGUGAGCUUGUCAUGCGCAGGGUGAACUCUCGAGAAAUCGAGAGGGAGGCCCGAACCGGUGAGCCGUUCAAUACUCUCGGAUGACGUGUGAUAAGGAGUGAUAAGCUAAUCGAACCUGGUAAUAGCUGGUUCUCUCCGAAAUAGCUUUUGGGCUAGCGUCGGAAUUACCUUUGAGGGGUAGAGCACUGGAAGGUCUUGACAGGUCGAAAGAUCCCGAGACCUAUCAAACUCCGAAUACUCAAAGUAAAUUUUCUGGCAGUUAGACUGUGGGGGCUAAGCUCCAUUGGUCAAAAGGGAAACAGCCCGGAUCUCCAUUUAAGGUCCCUAAAUCUAUGUUAAGUACGCUUAAGGUGGUAAGUUUUCUCAAACAAUGAGGAUGUUGGCUUAGAAGCAGCCAUCAUUUAAAGAAAGCGUAACAGCUCACUCAUCGAGAGAAUUUGCGCCGCAGAUAAUCGGGGUUAAACAUAGUACCGAAACUGAGGAUUGCAUAUGUCUUCGGACGUAUGCACUGGUAGGAGAGUAUUCGCAACUGCACUGAAGGUAAAGGGGUGACCCAUACUGGAGCGUUGCGAAGUAAGAAUGUUGGCACAAGUAACCACAAUGCAGGUGAGAUACCUGCACGCCGAAAGAUCAAGGUUUCCUUGGCUAUGUAAAUCAGCCAAGGGUUAGUCGGGCCUAAGGGAAUGGCGAAAGCCGUACUCGAUGGACACAUGGUUAAUAUUCCAUGACGUAUUGUGCGUGCGACGGGAUGACGAAGGGUAGUAUGUGUAGCGCAUUAUUGGAUUUGCGUUUGUGUCGUAAGGGUGAUUUCCAGGAAAAUCCGGAAGUCUGUGUUUAAUCACGCUCCAAGCGAUAUGAAGAUGCUCGGGUUCGCUCGGGUAAAUUAUACAAAGCACGCUUUCAAGAAAAAUCUCUAAGCAUAACGCACAGUACACCGUACCGCAAACCGACACAGGUGAUCAGCUCGAGUAGAGUAAGGCGAACGAGUGAUUUUUCUCCAAGGAACUCGGCAAAAAAGCAGCCGUAACUUCGGAAUAUGGCUUGCCCGUAGCAAUACGGGCCGCAGCGAAAGUAUCCCUGGCAACUGUUUAUCAAAAACACAGCUCCCUGCGAACUCGUAAGAGGAUGUAUAGGGGGUGACACCUGACCAAUGCCAGAAGGUCAAACGACGGUGGUACUAUGGUCGCAAGAUUGUAGUGCUGGAUGUUGUAAGCCCUGGUGAAUGUCGGCCGUAACUAUAACGGUCCUAAGGUUGUGUCUCUUGCGAAAGCGGAGACACAAGGACUGGGACUGUUAUAGGAAAAGAUAAAUAGUUUGACAGUGAAGUCAAUUACAAAAAAUGAAGCUACCUAUACUGUAGUAAUACAGUGUUAGUCCAGAUAUGGUUAAAAAGAGCACCAACGCCAUACACCCUAAGACAUUUUAAAUGUUUGGGUGAAGAUAGAGUCCUUCUUUGAGGAAUAGAAGAGCGAAAUUCCUUGUCAGGUAAGUUCUGACGUGCACGAAUAGUGUAAUGACUGGGGAACUGUCUCGGAGAAUAGCUCGGUGAAAAUACAGUACCGGUGAAGAUGCCGGUUACCUGCAGUUAGACGAAAAGACCCUAGAAGCUUUACUGCAGCUUGAUAUUGAGCAUAUGUUUUUGAUGCGUAGCGUAGAUGGGAGGAUUUGAAGUGUAUCUCUCGGGGUGCAUGGAUCCGCAAGUGAAAUACCAUUCUUUAAAAAUAUAUGUUCUAACCUGUACGGCAAAAACGCACAGGGACAUUAUCUGGUGGGCAGUUUUAGUGGGGCGCUAUCCUCCUAAAGAGUAACGGAGGAGUUUAUUAAGGUCAGCUAGCCGUGAAUGGAAACCAUGGCGAUAGUGUAAUGGCAUAAGCUGGCUUAACUGUGAGACGUACUUGUCAAGCAGAUGCGAAAGCAGAACAUAGUGAACCGACCAUUCGCAUUAGACGCGGUGGAAGAUUAUCGGAUAAAAGCUACUCUAGGGAUAACAGGCUGGUUGUGCCUAAGAGUUCAUAUCGACGGCACAGUUCGGCACCUCGAUGUCGGCUCAACUUAUCCUGGGGGUGGAGAAGCUCCCAAGGGUAUGGCUGUUCGCCAUUUAAAAAGUUACGCGAGCUGGGUUCAGACCGUUUAGUGGUUAAAUUUUGACCAUUGAACAGUCUGAAUCCCAUCGAAAUUUUCGUUUAUAUUAAAAAUAGUUAGGAAGUAGAUCAAUCAAACACGGCGGUCCCACAUAGCAAUAUGUGAAGAUCAAGUUGACUAGUAUCGGUGGAGGCCUAAACAUACCCAGUGUUGGCUAAUACCGAGGGAACAUAGUAGUUAGUAGUGGAUAGUUUAUAGUUGAUAGAUGGGGAGGGUAAAAUCUCCUUUUCUAAAAACUAAGGACUAAAAACUAAAGACUGUUCGUGACCCG